rnacentral:rRNA from 1 species
UCGAUUGAGUUUGAUCAUGGCUCAGGACGAACGCUGGCGGCGUGCUUAACACAUGCAAGUCAAGGGGGCCCAGCAAUGGGCAACCGGCGAACGGGUGCGUAACACGUGAGCAACCUUCCGAAAUAUGGGGGAUAGCCGGCCUAACGGCCGAGUAAUACCGCAUACGCUCUCGAUGAGGCAUUUCAUUGAGAGGAAACCUACGGGGUAUUUCGAGGGGCUCGCGGCCUAUCAGCUAGUUGGCGAGGUAACGGCUCACCAAGGCAACGACGGGUAGCUGGUCUGAGAGGAUGGCCAGCCACAUUGGGACUGAGAUACGGCCCAGACUCCUACGGGAGGCAGCAGUGGGGAAUCUUGCGCAAUGGCCUAACGGCUGACGCAGCGACGCCGCGUGUGGGAUGAAGCUCUUCGGAGUGUAAACCACUGUUGCCCGGGACGAAUAGCUCGAUUAAUCGAGCCUGACAGUACCGGGUGAGGAAGCACCGGCUAACUCCGUGCCAGCAGCCGCGGUAAUACGGGGGGUGCGAGCGUUGUCCGGAAUCACUGGGCGUAAAGGGCGCGUAGGUGGUUUGAUAAGGGUGUGGUGAAAGUCCGGGGCUCAACCCCGGAUCUGCCGUGCCGACUGUCAAACUCGAGGACUGUAGAGGCAGACGGAAUUCCGGGUGUAGCGGUGGAAUGCGUAGAGAUCCGGAGGAAGACCGGUUGCGAAGGCGGUCUGCUGGGCAGUUUCUGACACUGAGGCGCGACAGCGUG